UCCUCCGCUUAUUGAUAUGCUUAAGUUCAGCGGGUAGUCCUACCUGAUUUGAGGUCAGAGUCAAAAAUUGCCCGAGGGCGAUUGUAAGCAGUCAUCACAACCUUCACCGACGAAACUUAUUACGCCGACUACGGUGCUAUCCCGCUAAGUCUUUUAAGGCGAGCCGGCAGAGCGGCAACACCCAAGUCCAAUCUCCUCGGAAACCCGAGGGAUUGAGUCUACAUGACACUCAAACAGGCAUGCCCUCCGGAAUACCAGAGGGCGCAAGGUGCGUUCAAAGAUUCGAUGAUUCACUGAAUUCUGCAAUUCACAUUACUUAUCGCAUUUCGCUGCGUUCUUCAUCGAUGCGAGAGCCAAGAGAUCCGUUGUUAAAAGUUUUGUUUUUGUUAUGAUAUUACAUUCAUUACUAACAGUUUGUGAUGGCCGAAGCCACAGUUCACGGUGUGUAUGGAAACCCUCUUCUUGCGAAGAGAGCAGAUCUAACCCAAUGAUUUGCAUCAGAGGGCACUAUUAAUGAUCCUUCCGCAGGUUCACCUACGGAAACCUUGUUAUGACUUUUACUUCCUCUAAAUGACCAAG
rnacentral:misc_RNA from 1 species